AACGAACGCUGGCGGCAGGCUUAACACAUGCAAGUCGAACGAGAUCUUCGGAUCUAGUGGCAGACGGGUGAGGAACACGUGGGAACAUCCCUUUCAGUUCGGAAUAACGUUGGGAAACUAACGCUAAUACCGGAUACGUCCUUCGGGAGAAAGAUUUAUCGCUGAAAGAUUGGCCCGCGUCUGAUUAGCUAGUUUGUGAGGUAAUGGCUCACCAAGGCUACGAUCAGUAGCUGAUCUGAGAGGAUGGACAGCCACAUUGGGACUGAGACACGGCCCAAACUCCUACGGGAGGAAGCAGUGGGGGAUAUUGGACAAUGGGCGCAAGCCUGAUCCAGCCAUGCCGCGUGAGUGAUGAAGGCCUUCGGGUUGUAAAGCUCUUUUCGCUAUCGACGAAGCCACUUGUGGUGACGGUAGGUAGAUAAGAAGCACCGGCUAACUACGUGCCAGCAGCCGCAGUAA
rnacentral:rRNA from 1 species